AUAUAUAUCAACCUUCUCUCUUGUAGUGAGUGGUUUGGAUGUGGGGGUUUGCUGGCCUCUUUUAAAAAAGGGUUCAGCUCUCCUGAAAUGCAUUAGCAGAACAACCUGUUCAUUGGUGUGAUAACUAUCUGCGCCAUUGAAUGUGAGGGGCAGUUCAGCUUUCUAACAGUCCUUGGACAAUUCAUUAUUA
rnacentral:misc_RNA from 1 species